CGGCGGCUCGUGCGUGGUGCUCGGCGGCGAAUACGUCGUCGUCGGAGGCGAAUACGUCGUCGUCGACGGCGGUUGGAGGCUGCUGGUCGGCGGC
rnacentral:tRNA from 1 species